rnacentral:rRNA from 1 species
GACGAACGCUGGCGGCGUGCUUAACACAUGCAAGUCGAACGGAAAGGCCCUGCUUUUGUGGGGUGCUCGAGUGGCGAACGGGUGAGUAACACGUGAGUAACCUGCCCUUGACUUUGGGAUAACUUCAGGAAACUGGGGCUAAUACCGGAUAGGAGCUCCUGCUGCAUGGUGGGGGUUGGAAAGUUUCGGCGGUUGGGGAUGGACUCGCGGCUUAUCAGCUUGUUGGUGGGGUAGUGGCUUACCAAGGCUUUGACGGGUAGCCGGCCUGAGAGGGUGACCGGCCACAUUGGGACUGAGAUACGGCCCAGACUCCUACGGGAGGCAGCAGUGGGGAAUAUUGCACAAUGGGCGGAAGCCCGAUGCAGCAACGCCGCGUGCGGGAUGACGGCCUUCGGGUUGUAAACCGCUUUCGCCUGUGACGAAGCGUGAGUGACGGUAAUGGGUAAAGAAGCACCGGCUAACUACGUGCCAGCAGCCGCGGUGAUACGUAGGGUGCGAGCGUUGUCCGGAUUUAUUGGGCGUAAAGGGCUCGUAGGUGGUUGAUCGCGUCGGAAGUGUAAUCUUGGGGCUUAACCCUGAGCGUGCUUUCGAUACGGGUUGACUUGAGGAAGGUAGGGGAGAAUGGAAUUCCUGGUGGAGCGGUGGAAUGCGCAGAUAUCAGGAGGAACACCAGUGGCGAAGGCGGUUCUCUGGGCCUUUCCUGACGCUGAGGAGCGAAAGCGUGGGGAGCGAACAGGCUUAGAUACCCUGGUAGUCCACGCUGUAAACGGUGGGUACUAGGUGUGGGGUCCAUUCCACGGGUUCCGUGCCGUAGCUAACGCUUUAAGUACCCCGCCUGGGGAGUACGGCCGCAAGGCUAAAACUCAAAGGAAUUGACGGGGCCCCGCACAAGCGGCGGAGCAUGCGGAUUAAUUCGAUGCAACGCGUAGAACCUUACCUGGGGUUGACAUGGAUCGGGAGCGCUCAGAGAUGGGUGUGCCUCUUUUGGGGUCGGUUCACAGGUGGUGCAUGGCUGUCGUCAGCUCGUGUCGUGAGAUGUUGGGUUAAGUCCCGCAACGAGCGCAACCCUUGUUCACUGUUGCCAGCACGUUAUGGUGGGGACUCAGUGGAGACCGCCGGGGUCAACUCGGAGGAAGGUGGGGAUGACGUCAAGUCAUCAUGCCCCUUAUGUCCAGGGCUUCACGCAUGCUACAAUGGCUGGUACAGAGAGUGGCGAGCCUGUGAGGGUGAGCGAAUCUCGGAAAGCCGGUCUCAGUUCGGAUUGGGGUCUGCAACUCGACCUCAUGAAGUCGGAGUCGCUAGUAAUCGCAGAUCAGCAACGCUGCGGUGAAUACGUUCCCGGGGCU